AUCUUCUGAGGGAGAGAUAAGGAUUGGCAGGGUCAGGCGGGCAGCUCCCCGGGGUGCGCAGGAGUGAGGAAACCCCUCCUUAUCUUAAAACACUGGGGAACCUGUGUGGCCUCCCCCAUAUCCUUUGAGACAGUGUGUCCCCACGGCACUAACCCCUGUUCUGCUGCAUUCUCUGUCAUUCUGAUGGACCAAAUGACCACUGUGCUCCUUAGGCAGCAUGCCCUUCGCACCAGGGACUGGCUCUGCAGAUUGGUCUGCACAGGCCUGCUGUGCUUUGGGGGCUCUACAAACCAGCAGAGGAGCCCUCUGAGGCUUGAAGCACUGCCAGAUGCCACGUGAAACACCGGCCGGGCUUGCCCUCCAUGCAGAGCUGCACCAGUUUGAUUAAAUUAAACCAGUGCCAAAGGCGGUCGGGCUGCCCUUAUUCGGCCUGACCCAGUGUUGUUUCAGUUUAGCUGAAGUCCAUUAGAAAGGGGUUUAAAAUGAACUGAAAUUAUAAUACUCAGAUAUGCUUUUCAUCUCUCUCUCUCUCAUACAGAGGUCAGUAUUAUCAUCCCCGUUUUACAGAUGGGGAAACUGAGGCACAGAGUAGGGACAUCACUUGCCCAGGUUCACCCAGCAGGCCACUGACACAGCUAGGAACAGAACCCAAAUCUCCUGAGUCCCUGUCCAGUGCACUCUCCACUGUCCCAUACUGCCUCCCGUAAUAAAGCCACUCAAACUGAAAUAAGCAUUUCCACACAGGACUUUGUACCCAUAUAACUAAACCAGUGCCAUUUUUCAGUUAGACAAGGCCUUAGCAACAAGCCUCGCUACAGGAUCGAACGAGGGCUGAACUUGGACCUUGGAGGGUACGUAUCAGUGGCAAAUAGGGUAAGAAAAUUAGAGACGUUCAAAACAAAACAAGUUGAGGGCUAACUGGGAGACCCUUAAAAACAGGAGGACUCCCAUGUCAAAGAUACAACCACAGACCAUGGGGCUCCCACCCCAAGUUACAUGCAGAGAGCACGCUCCGGAAGGAGAGGAAUUCAAACAGAUAUGAUGCAGUCACAUCUCGGACAGCCUGUUUUUUGGCCGCUUGACUUGAGACUUGGAUUUUUCAGAAGUGCUGAGAACCCAUAGCUCGCUCUGAUUUCAACUGCAGCUGCAGGUGCUCAGAACCUCUGAAAAUCCCGGCCCCAAGGUGUCCGAAGUCAGGCACUGAGAAAAGCCCCAGAGGCUGCCAAAACAAAUUAAGUGGUCAACUUCAAAAGUGUUACCUUCAUGCUUUAUUGCUUUUACACAAACAUGCACCCACACAAACAAACCAAAGCAAACUUUCUUAUGAUGGCUUUCGGAAAAUAAGACGUACUGGAGAAUUUUUAUCCCUGGGGAGCGAUGCCAAUUCUCAUGAUUUUAUCACAGGUUUCACAAUAGUUGAUGUCAUUCUUAAAGACCCAGCUGCUGGAGUCAGGUGAUGAUGUAAAAAAAAAUAGUUUAUGGCCUUUGUGUUUGUGGCGAAAAGCUUGAAAAUGCAGAUUCCUAACUGUUUCAGAGAGCUAGUCAGAGAGUUUAUGGCCAAAUGGGAACGCUAGAUCAUGCAGUCUGAUCUCCUUUAUAGCAUGGGCCACCAACACACCCUGCACCUGCACACUGACCAAACAACCAAAAUGAGACCAAAGUAUUACAGCUCCCAGGAGACUAGACUAUUAUGAGCCACAGGCAGAGAACAGGAGGGACAGAGGUAUAUCAAUGCCCAAGGCCUCGACAAUGGCAGCGAAAGAUUGAGAGAUGCCCAGAUAAUCCUGGCAGAUAACCUGUGCCCCAUGCUGCAGAGACAGGUGAAAAAAACAACAACCCAAGUUCACUGCCAAGCUGACCUGGGGAGAAAUUCCUUCCUGACCCCACAUAUCAGUUAGACCCUGAGCACAUGAGCAAGAACCAGCCAGCCAAGCACCCAAGACAGAGGAUGCUCAGUGCCACCUCAGAACCGUGGCUCUUCCAGUCCAAUGUCCCAUCUCCAGCUGUGCCCAUCUCUGGUGCCUCAAAGGAAGGGGGAACCCUCCCAGAAUACACUGGAGCAUGGGGAGCAAAAUUCCUUCCUGACCCCUGCUCAAGUCUGGCUGAAACCCUGAAGCAUGAGCUUUUAGGAACAUAAGACAUAAACCAGAAGUGAGCCCGAGGGCUGCUGAGUGCUCCCCACACCAUCACAAACAACCCCACCAUAAAAUCACCUUCAUAAAUUUGUCCAGCUCUCUCUUAAAGCAAAUUAAAUUGCUUAGCCCUUCCCCCUUCCCACUAACUCCUAGUGGGAGCCUGUCCCAGAACCUCACCCUUCCGAUGGUUAGAAACCUUCUUCUAAUUCCCAGCCCCAGUUUGCUCAUGGCCCGUUUACGUCCAUUUGUUCUUGUCCCAAAAACAUCCUUCCGCUUAAAUAACUGCAUCCUCCCUGGUAUUUAUAGAGAGUAAUCCUAGCACCAUUGGCCUUAUUGCUACAUUAAACAAGCCAAGCUCUUCCAGGCUCCUCUCAUAAGCUAGGCCCUCCAUUCCCCUGAUCAUCCUAAUAGCUCUUCUCUGCACCUCUUCUGGUUUGAAUUCAUCUUUCUUGCACCCAAACCGUACGCAGGAUUCCAGACAAGGUCUUACCAGUGCCUCAUACAAGGGCAUUAAUCCUUCUCUUCAUGUAGCUUACUGUCAGAAAGGACCAUUAGAUCACCUAGCCUGACCUCCUGCACAUCACAGACCAUUGCAUUUCACCCAGAUACUGCUGUAAAGAGCCCAAUAAUGAGUUAAAUUAAAACAUUUCAGUCCUCCGUAAACCAUCAUGUGCCACUGGCAGAGAACAGGAAAGAAUGAGGUACAUUGAUACAAGAGCCCAUUGCAAUGGCAGGGAAUAGAUUAGGUGAGAUGUGCCAAGUUCAAAGACUGGGAGGCAAAUGAAAAGAAUUCAAUAUUGAUUAGUUUUGAAAAUCUCAUUCUGUUUUUUUGGGGGUUUUUUUUGGGAGGGCAGAGGCCUGGCACAAUCGGGUCCUGGUCCAGGACUGAGACUCCAAUGCCAAUAAUAAUUUUUGAACACUUGAGGUUGGCCAUACCGCCCAUAUAUAUGCCUUGUUGUUCGCAAGUGUGAAUGAUUCAAUGUGAAUUGUUACUGGAAUUCUAUAAAUGUCUGGCAUGUGGGAGCCAACCCAUCAACCCAGCCCGGCAUCUCUCUGCAGCCACUGCAGGAUUGUUCCCUAUGGGGUAUUUCCUAACAAUAUGUCUGCUCUAGUUAUAAAUAGCGCGAGCAAUGAGGCUGCCACCGCUUUCCCUGCGAGGAUUCUUAUGCAGUUGUAUAGAUCCGCCAGGUGAUUGUGGACAACAAAGCCUUGCCUAAGCCAUUUUCGUGCCGUCCCUUCUUAUUUAAUCACUUGCUGUCUGAGCUCACUUACACCAGUUUGUCUGGCAGCUACAAAAGCCAUCUGGGUUUCUGUGUCCUUUGCGUGACCUAGUGACAAUAACCGGAAGAAAGCCGUGCUCUCACACAGCAUUGCUUCAGAUGCUUUAACCACUAAAUUCCACACACACACUCACACCAUGUGGCUUCAGCAACAUUUCUAGCAUCAAACCAGAGGCAAAGAAUGUUUCCUUCUCAUGGCUGAAAUGUCUCUCUGGAGCACUCGAGCCAGGCACAGGCCUUGUUCUGACCCCUCUGCACAGAGGUGACUUUUAGUGUGACUUCAUUAAAGUCGCUUGACUCCCAAAGCCCCAGAGAACUGCGCUGCUGCAAAACAGGAACCUCGCUGAAACCCAGGUGAUGCAUCUGAAGCCGAGCUGCCCUGCAGAACGGCUGCUGCUCACUCUCCCAGACAUCCCCACCCCUGCUCUGCACCAGCGGGAGUCCAAACCCUCUGCUUUGAUAACAAACAAAGACAGGAGAGAUAAGUCACUAGCUCGGCAGGAUGGGUCUGAGGCUCAGCCAGAGGUAGCGGGCAGGGGUUGUUUUGGAUAAGCCUGCGAUUGUUUCUGGACACAGCCUCUUCUUCUCCAGAGUCAGGGUUGUAAACAGCUCUCGGCUUGGAACGCCAGGUAUUCUGGGCUCAACGCAUAACAUGCGGAGCAUUAAUGUCACCUGGCUGACUGUGCAAGGAAAAAAACAAAGCAGGCUCCCACACAUGCUUAGGAAGUGAGCCAACUGGGUAAAGGUGGCUGGGUCCACAGAACAAAGGCUGGGAUAGCGUUUCCCUGCUGUUGCUAUCGUGGGUUAAGCUCCAUCAGCCGCAAGAGCACCAGUGCAGACAGGCAGCUAGUGUUCUCUCAACAUUGAUGGCUCCCAUGCUGGAAGGAAAAAUCUAGCGGACACGAGACCUGUGUUAGGGCUUGUCUCCACUUGAAAAUUUACCAUAACAGCUAUUCCAGAAUAAGAAUGUCCCCAUGUAGGGAGCCCCCAGCUAAGCAUGGCAGCUCUUAAGAACCGGUGGCAAUAGACACCUUAUAAAGCCCAGUAUUACAUCGAUCAGGGUCCCUAUGGUUGACCCCAACCAGCUAAUCUGUGUUAAAUUACAAAUUGCCUUGUCUACGCUAUGGUUAAACAUUUUAAACAGCACAAUUUUUUGCCUAGUGAAGACAAAGGUAUUGGCUUAAUUAAGACUAUUCACCUGCUUAAAUAUAAAGUACGUGCAUAGCAUUUGUAGAAUCAGAGUCUAAAUGUCGACACAAGGUGCAAAGCAGUGGAGUACGGGGCCCAUAUACAUUUAAACUCAGGUCUGGGCAUGGGCCAUUCAUAUGAGUUUCAGAGGUGCAGAGCACUUGCAGUCCCCAUUGACUUCAGUCCCCAUUGAUUUGUGGGUCCUUAGCAAGUCUGAGAAAUCAAGCCCAAGAUCACGCCAAUAACACAAUUAUGGCUGGGAACUA